rnacentral:rRNA from 1 species
UUUAUGGAGAGUUUGAUCCUGGCUCAGGACGAACGCUGGCGGCGUGCCUAAUACAUGCAAGUCGAGCGGAGAAUGAAGGAAGCUUGCUUCUUUCAUUCUUAGCGGCGGACGGGUGAGUAACACGUAGGCAACCUGCCCUCAAGCUUGGGACAACUACCGGAAACGGUAGCUAAUACCGAAUAU